CCCAGUUGUAGGCAGCUGCCUAGGUUGCUGUGUACCUGGGCACGUGUUACACUGCUGGGAGAACAGCAGCAAAUAGCUGGUUGGCAUUCUGGACCUGGUUCAUGACACUUUUGUGUUAACUAUUCCAGGAUGUCAGCAUA
ensembl:snoRNA SNORA74 Small nucleolar RNA SNORA74